rnacentral:rRNA from 1 species
GAUGAACGCUGGCGGCGUGCCUAAUACAUGCAAGUCGAGCGAACAGACGAGGAGCUUGCUCCUCUGACGUUAGCGGCGGACGGGUGAGUAACACGUGGAUAACCUACCUAUAAGACUGGGAUAACUUCGGGAAACCGGAGCUAAUACCGGAUAAUAUAUUGAACCGCAUGGUUCAAUAGUGAAAGACGGUUUUGCUGUCACUUAUAGAUGGAUCCGCGCCGCAUUAGCUAGUUGGUAAGGUAACGGCUUACCAAGGCAACGAUGCGUAGCCGGCCUGAGAGGGUGAUCGGCCACACUGGAACUGAGACACGGUCCAGACUCCUACGGGAGGCAGCAGUAGGGAAUCUUCGGCAAUGGGCGAAAGCCUGACGGAGCAACGCCGCGUGAGUGAUGAAGGUCUUCGGAUCGUAAAACUCUGUUAUUAGGGAAGAACAGAUGUGUAAGUAACUAUGCACGUCUUGACGGUACCUAAUCAGAAAGCCACGGCUAACUACGUG